CAGGUUAACGUUCCGAUACAAGGUGUCAGCAUCUCAGACAGGAGCAAUGAGCAGACAACGAGAACAAGCCACGACAUGCGAGAGUCCAUCGUCCAAACGCCAAGGUUACUGAGCCAAUAUGGGCUAAGUAGUGGGUCAGCUAUCUAUGGGUCGCUUGAUGUUCGAGUAGUACUAUAUAAAAGACAAACACUUGUGUAAUAGGGGCAUGAACAAUUUAGCUAUCAAAUAUCAGACAAACUCGUCUUCCUCCCAGCUAUUCCCUUCUCCAAGUCUUAUUCUCCUCUGAGCUCUUCCUCAUCGAUCCCCCUUAUCAGGUGUCGCUAACACAAGGACCCUAGAUUGUUUUUGUGUGUGUGUGUGCGUUACAAAAAGACUUGCUACCAGCUCGAACCUAGCAGCAGCUUCGAGAACCUGUUUGUUUACUACCACUAGUACUAUUGUAUACUGAUUCCAGUUAAUUAAGCACCGUACCGUGUGUCGAGGAA